UACGUAGGGUGCAAGCGUUAAUCGGAAUUACUGGCGUAAAGCGUGCGCAGGCGGUGAUGUAAGACAGGUGUGAAAUCCCCGGGCUUAACCUGGGAACUGCAUUUGUGACUGCAUCGCUGGAGUGCGGCAGAGGGGGAUGGAAUUCCGCGUGUAGCAGUGAAAUGCGUAGAUAUGCGGAGGAACACCGAUGGCGAAGGCAAUCCCCUGGGCCUGCACUGACGCUCAUGCACGAAAGCGUGGGGAGCAAACAGG
rnacentral:rRNA from 1 species